GCACCCUUAGCUCAGUUGGUAGAGCAACUCUUUUACACAGAGAAGGUCGUAGGUUCGAGCCCUACAGGGUGCACCA
rnacentral:tRNA from 1 species